rnacentral:rRNA from 1 species
UAGGGAAUCUUCCGCAAUGGACGCAAGUCUGACGGAGCAACGCCGCGUGAGUGAAGAAGGAUUUCGGUUCGUAAAACUCUGUUGUUAGAGAAGAACAGCGCAUAGAGUAACUGUUAUGCGUGUGACGGUAUCUAACCAGAAAGCCACGGCUAACUACGUGCCAGCAGCCGCGGUAAUACGUAGGUGGCAAGCGUUGUCCGGAUUUAUUGGGCGUAAAGCGAGCGCAGGCGGUCAAUUAAGUCUGAUGUGAAAGCCCCCGGCUCAACCGGGGAGGGUCAUUGGAAACUGGUUGACUUGAGUGCAGAAGAGGAGAGUGGAAUUCCAUGUGUGGCGGUGAAAUGCGCAGAGAUAUGGAGGAACACCAGUGGCGAAGGCGACUUUCUGGUCUGUAACUGACGCUGAUGUGCGAAAGCGUGGGGAUCAAACAGG